rnacentral:misc_RNA from 1 species
AAGAUCGCUCAAUUAAGGGAGCUUGCUGAGCUGAGAGGGACUCUCAGAGUCGGAUAUACUCCCAAAACUCGUAUGGCUUGUGAAGUUUGUGGUGAUGUAAGCCAUCUCACAGCAGCCUGUCCUUUGACUGCAUCAACCCCAGGAACCAGCAUCGACAGUCUUCAGGUCAGUUCUGCUCCCGGAGGCGGGCUCUUCUCCUCUUUGAGUACUCUGCCGGUUCGGAAUUCCACCACACCGCAGAUGGCUAAUCUGUCAGUGGGGUCUUUCAG